CCGGGCGGCCUUAGCGCGGUGGUCCCACCUGACCCCAUGCCGAACUCAGAAGUGAAACGCCGUAGCGCCGAUGGUAGUGUGGGGUCUCCCCAUGCGAGAGUAGGGAACUGCCAGGC
rnacentral:rRNA from 1 species